CACUGGGGCUUCCUGGUUGGCGCUUGCGCAGGGAACUCAGCGCUGAGACUGUCUAAAGCCCCAGGAAAAAUGGUGGAAAAUUCACUGCUGCCAGGAAGAGCGAUUUAUGACUUUGUGCUUCUCGUAAGCUCCCAAUUUGGCUUCAUACUUUACCUCGUGUGGGCUUUUAUUCCUGAAUCUUGGCUAAACUCCUUAGGUUUAACCUAUUGGCCUCAAAAACAUUGGACAGUUGCAUUAUCUCUCUACCUCCUUAUUACUAUAGUAAUUGGCUGUGUGCUCUUGUUUGGGAUUAACAUGAUGAGUACCCCUUCACUCAACUCCAUUCAUACAAUCACAGACAACUAUGCUAAAAAUCAACAGCAGAAGAAAUACCAAGAGGUGGCCAUUCCAGCAUUAAGAGUUAUUUCUACUAGUGAAGUAAACCAAAUGUUAUUUCUUGCAGCCAAAGACCUUUACACCAAAAACUGAAAUGUAUGUGACACACUAACACCAAGCAUUUAUUUAUUUAUAAGUUUUUGCCAUCAUAAUUUUGACCAUAAAUUAAUUCAACCGUUUCGUAUUAAUAGAGAUGUACAAAAUGUAAGUUGAUCUUCUCUUAGAUUAUGUUCAAUGAAUAUUGUA